GACAGUCUCUGUCUUCUGGAGUGACAUGGGAAGUGGCCAGAGGGGAAGAAAGGUGAUGAAUGGGAGGACAUCCAGGCAGCCCUGUCAACUUGGCACGACCUUUCCAAUUCAACUCAGUAACAGGUAUGGGAUUGCCGGGUCACAUGGAAAUCAUACAUUUAUCUUUAUAAGAAACUGCCCAACCUUUUCUCAGAGGAGCUGCAGUAUUUAACAUUCCUGCUAGCGACAUGUAAGGGUUCCAGUUGCUCCGUGUCCUUGCCAGCAUUCAAUAUGUUGCGAUGGGGAAAACCAGUUGCCACAUAAGAUGUCCAGCCACCCCAAGACUGCCAUGCUGGGUGAUACUCCAGAUGACACCCCCUCCCUGCCUCAGCUCCCGACAUGUGCGUGAAGGCAUGUAGGACCCUCCAAACCCAGCCUACCUGCCUCAAGAUGGUCUCACUACACACCACGAGGAGCGAGAGGAUCGCCUAGCUGAGCCCUGCCCCAAUUCUUGGCCCACAGAUC